AGCGAACGUUAGCGGCGCGCCUAACACAUGCAAGUCGCACGAGAAACGGAGCAAUCCGCGGUACAGUGGCGCACGGGUGAGUAACACGUGGAUGACCUUCCCUGGAGUGGUGGAUAACCUGCCGAAAGGCGGGCUAAUACAGCAUGGGACCACGACGCUUUGGCGAUGUGGUGAAAGCGGGCCUCUAUACAUAAGCUCGCGCUCCGGGACGGGUCCGCGUCCCAUCAGCUAGUUGGUGAGGUAACGGCUCACCAAGGCAACGACGGGUAGCUGGUCUGAGAGGAUGGCCAGCCACACUGGAACUGAGACACGGUCCAGACUCCUACGGGAGGCAGCAGUGGGGAAUCUUGCGCAAUGGGCGAAAGCCUGACGCAGCGACGCCGCGUGGGCGAAGAAGGCCUCGG
rnacentral:rRNA from 1 species